CGGAAAUGUUUCAAACCAGACGCAUGACCCGAUCAAUGUCUAUGUACUACCACCCGAAGAUUUACCCUCGAGAAUACCCUUGAGUACCUUUCAUUAGUUUUUGUUCGUGUCUUGUUUACUGUGAUUGCAUUUUAUCUUUAGAUAUUUGUUACAAUUUACAUUUGCUGGAGGUCAGGUCCAUGCCCCCCUCCUCUCUCUGUUUUCCC
rnacentral:lncRNA from 1 species